rnacentral:lncRNA from 1 species
UUCCUUACUUUAAUUUUUCCCAUUGGGUUUUGUUUUAAGGUUUUAACGAGGCACAUCAUUGAAUAGACAUUCAAGGGGGAGUGUUAUAAAUACUUCUAUUUAAGGUGAAUGUCUUUAAUUAGAGAGAUUCUAGAGUCCUAUUAUUGGUAGCUAAAUCAUCCUCCUCCCUAUAAAUAGAGGUGCAUUCUACCAUUGUAAAUCACUCCUAACAUUCUCUAAGUAUCAAUAAGAGGAACUCUGUCUACUCUUCUCUCUAUUGCUCUUGUUCUUGAAUUAUUGUUCUUGUCUUUUAUAUUAUUUCAUA